GACGAACGCUGGCGGCGUGCUUAACACAUGCAAGUCGAGCGGAAAGGCCACUUCGGUGGUACUCGAGCGGCGAACGGGUGAGUAACACGUGAGUAAUCUGCCCCUGGCUUUGGGAUAGCCACCGGAAACGGUGAUUAAUACCGGAUACGACCACUUCUCGCAUGGGCUGGUGGCGGAAAGUUUUUUCGGCCAGGGAUGUGCUCGCGGCCUAUCAGCUUGGUGGUGAGGUAAUGGCUCACCAUGGCUUCGACGGGUAGCCGGCCUGAGAGGGUGACCGGUCACACUGGGACUGAGACACGGGCCAGACUCGUACGGGAGGAAGGAGUGGGGAAUAUGGGAAAAUGGGCGGAAGCCUGAUCAGCAACGCCGCGUGAGGGAUGACGGCCUUCGGGUUGUAAACCUCUUUCAGCAGGGACGAAGCGCAAGUGACGGUACCUGCAGAAGAAGCACCGGCCAACUACGUGCCAGCAGCCGCCGUAA
rnacentral:rRNA from 1 species